CCUGUAAUCCCAGCUACUCAGGAGGCUGAGGCAGGAGAAUCGCUUGAACCCGAGAGGCGGAGGUUGCGGUGAGCCGAGAUCGUGCCAUUGCACUCCAGCUUGGGCAACAAGAGUGAAACUCGGUCUCAAAAAAAAAAAAGUUAUGAUGGGAAUCCAGAACAAUGGAUCUAUGGACCCUUCUCUAAGAAGUGAGGAAAGGUAAGGUUUCAUUAAAGUUAGCUUUAGUAUUGAUAAUACACUAUAUGGAACUAAAAUUUGAUUUUCUCUUUUGAGUAAGAAUUUUGUAUAGUUUGUUUUUUUUUUUUUUACAGAGUCUUGCUCUGUUGCCAAGGCUGGAGUGCCAUGGCAUGAUCUCAGCUCACUGCAACCUGCACCCCCUGGGUUCAAGCGAUUCUCCUGCCUCAGUCUCCCAAGUAGCUGGGAUUACAGGCAUGCACCACCAUGCUCAGCUAAUUUUUGGUAGAGAUGGGGUUUCACCACAUUGGCCAGGCUGGUCUUGAACUCCUGACCUCAAGUGAUCUGCCUGCCUCGGCCUCCCAAAGUGCUGGGAUUACAGGUGUGAGCCACCAAACCCAGCCUGUGUAGGAUUAAUAAGAGAUAGUAAAAUAUUUUUGUUUAUCUUUGAGUAAACUGCAAAAAAAAAAAAAAAAAAAGGAAGAGAAGAGACAGAUUCUAUCUCAGGCUGUCUUUAUUAGGUCUUUUGAUUGUUAGAAAAACAGACUUUUCUAUCAAAGAAUAAAGGUUUUUGCUUUUUAAAACCUUUUAAUUAUCACUUUGGCUAAAUAAAUAUUAUUUUACAGUGAUCUGUGAUCCUAUUUUUGUUGCUUGUUUGUUUGUUUUUGAGAUGGAGUCUCACUCUGUCGCCCAGACUGGAGUGCAGUGGCAAGAACUCAGCUUACUGCAAACUGCCUCCCAGGCUCAGCUAUUCUCCCACCUCAGCCUCCCAAGUAUCUGGGAUUACAGGCACUCACCACCACACCUAGCUAAUUUUUGUAUUUUUAGUAGAGAUGAGGUUUCGGCAUGUUGGCCAGGCUGGUCUCGAACUCCUGACCUCAGGUGAU
rnacentral:lncRNA from 1 species